ACAGGAGAGAGAGAGAGAGAGAGAGAGAGAGAGAGAGAGUCCAUCAAAGCACAGGGAUUAGAAAACCACCCCAGCUCACUUCAGCAUCACCAUUUAAUUCUGGAUUUGGAUUCAAGAAAUCUGUGUGCCCGAGGCUGUGUCUGUGAGCCCAAAAACAUCACAUCAUGGAUCCUCCAGCCGAGGACUGAAUGCGACGUGGAUAACGAGAGUCUCUAUCAUCCACGUCAAACUUGUUUUUUUUUUUUAAUUGAUUUAUAAAUUUCAUCGACUCGUGGGCUGCAGAGAAAGGCAGACAGGAUCUAGUUUAUACUUUAUAUUGAACUCGGCUGGAGGAUUCACCUCAAUUAGAUGUCUCAAAAGCUAGCUUAAAAUCUGAUUUGAAGGAUGGAAGAACACCCUCCCAGUCUCAGAUGAUGAUGAUUGCCAAAGAAAUAUUAAAAACAACUACUGGAGCUGAAGGAAGGAAGCAAACAACAAAUUGGCACAAUUUGUUUGUUUGAAUUGUACGGAAAAAUGGACGGAGGCGCCCAGUACAACCCCCGAACUGUAGAGGAGGUUUUCAGGGAUCUUAAGGGCCGUAGAGCUGGAAUGAUCAAAGCCCUAACUACUGAUGUAGAAGAAUUUUAUCAGCAGUGUGAUCCUGAGAAGGAGAAUCUUUGCCUGUAUGGGUUCCCUAAUGAACAGUGGGAAGUCAAUUUACCUGCUGAAGAAGUGCCUCCCGAACUCCCAGAGCCUGCACUUGGAAUUAACUUUGCCAGAGAUGGGAUGCAAGAAAAAGACUGGCUCUCUCUAGUUGCUGUUCAUAGUGAUGCGUGGUUGCUUGCCGUGGCUUUCUACUUUGGCUCUAGAUUUGGUUUUGAUAAAACUGAUAGGAAACGUCUUUUCACUAUGGUAAAUGAUCUCCCAACAAUAUUUGAGAUUGUAACUGGAGCUGUGAAGAAACAAGCAAAGGAGAAAUCUUCCGUCUCAAAUCAUAGCAGCAACAAGUCCAAGUCAAACUCAAAAGGGCGAGGAUCAGAAUCUGUCAAGUAUUUGAAGGGGCAACCAAAGGAUGAGGAGGAAGGACUGGAGGAGGAGGAGGAGGAGGAGCACGGGGAUACUUUGUGUGGGGCGUGUGGAGAGAACUAUGCUGCAGAUGAGUUCUGGAUUUGUUGCGACAUAUGUGAAAAGUGGUUCCAUGGCAAGUGCGUGAAGAUCACACCUGCCAGGGCUGAGCACAUCAAGCAGUACAAAUGCCCAUCAUGCAGCAACAAGAGAGCUAGACCUUGAUAUUAAUAUGGGUGUGGGUCGUCACCUCUGCACUUAUCUCAUGCUCAACUCAGCUAACUCAUUAGCCAGUCAGGUUUUCUAUGUUGUGCCAUGUUACCACAGCAUGUAAAUCAACUAAAGAAGACAUUAUAUAGGAAUUAAAAUGAGAAUUCUUAUCCCACUGUCGAUUCCUUAGCAAACAAAGCAUUGAAGUGGGUAGAUUGGCCAGAUAAGGUCUGCAGCAUAACAAAGCUCUUUCAAGUAUGUGUUCGUCUAUAUACAUGUAUGUAUGCAUGCAUGCAAUUUUUUUAUUUUUUUGAGAAAAAAAUAGAAAUAAACAAUCUGAAAAAGAAGAUCCAGCUUUCAACUUCCCAGAAA